ensembl:lncRNA
UGUGUGUGUGUGUGUGUGUGUUUGGGCAUGGGCAUUCUUUCUAAGUGAAAUUUGCCAGUUUGAGAAAAGGGUUAAUUUGCCUAUUAUUUUUUUAGAUGUGUCAUUUAGCUUUAACCUUUCUAUAGGUUUCAGCACAAGGCUGAAAAUACCAGUUGGAAGAUCAGAUGUGGAAGCUGGAGAGAUAGUUCAGCAGUUAAGAGGACCCAGGUUCAGUUGCCAGCACCCAUGUGGAGGCUCACAACCAUUUAUUUGUAACUCUGGUUCCCGGAAAUCUGAUGCCUUAUUCUGACUGCUACAGGCACCAGGCAUGCAUAUGGUGCAAAUACAUACAUGCAGGCAAAGUAUUCAUGGACAUCCAAAUCCAAAAAUAAAAGAGCCAGGUGGUGGUGGCAGCAGUGGUGCAUGCCUUUAGUUCUAGCACUCGGGAUGCAGAGGCAGGCUGAUCUCUGUGAGUUUAAGACCAGCUUGGUCUACAGAGUGAGUUCCAGGACAGGCUUCAAAGCUACAGAGAAACCCUGUCUCAAAAAAAAAAAAAAAGGGAAAGAAAGAAAGAAAGAAAGAGGAGGAGGAGAAGGAGAAGAAGAAGAAGAAGAAGAAGAAGAAGAAGAAGAAGAAGAAGAAGAAGAAGAAGAAGAAGAAGAAGAAAAUUAAAAAAGAUCAGAAGUGAAAAGUUGAAAAGUUGACCUGAGGAGCCCACAUUGUAAUCCCAAAUCCUAGGGUAACUAUGAGUCAUGUAUAGCGCCAGAGACGAUCCAAUGGGGAACAAUGCUUGUCCCAAGUCUGACUGACAACCUAACCCAAAUCCCUAGAAUUCAGAAAGAAUUUUUUCUAGAGAAAACCAAUCCCCACAAGUUGUCUUAUGACCUUCACACACAUGCUAUAGCAUGAGUACACACACACACACACAAACACACACACACUUACAAAAUAGAUAACUAAGUAAUAAAAAUUAGAAUACCUAUAAUUUCACACCUAUAACAUAGUCAUAGUCUCACCACUCAGCAAACAGUUAAUUGCACUAUCUAGGGAAAUUUCUUCUUUAUGGUUGUUACCUUCUAGCGAGAGAAAUGGUAUCAAGAGUUGGGUGUGGUGGUUCAUGCUUUUGAUCCCAGCACUUGAGAAGCAGACAUGGGCAGGUAUCUGUGUGUUUCAGGACAGCCAUAGUGAGACCCUGUCUCAAAAAUACAAAUAAAAAAUAAAGAGAAAAGGAAGAAGAAAAAUAUUAGAGAAAAAUACAAUCUUGAUGAGAGGUUUGAGGUAGGGAGCACCUGGAGGCUGUAGCAGAGGCAGAGAAAGUUCAAGGCCAGACCAGACUAUGUAGUGAGAAUUGGCCUCAAAAAUAAACAAGAUAAGGUGGUGCAAAUUUCAUGGAAGGCCAGAGUUCAAAUAGAUUCAGACCAGAUAGUGACUGUGUCCUUGAGAGAAUGAAGAGAAGGAGGAAACCAAAUAACCAUCUGAGUUCCCAGCAGUGUAAACAGGAAGUACAAAGAACCCCCAGGUGUGGGCAACCUUGAUGGGGAUCUGGAGGGUGACACAGUACCCACGUCAGGCCCUUUUCUGACUAAGCCCAGCUUCCCCUCACAACACAGCCUAUGGGACUCCUCUACCUCACUGCUCCCCUACUUUGCAGGAUCUGUAGGUUAGGAGGAAGCUGUGUCUUCAGGAGGAUGUUUAACCCAGGGCCUCAUUUCUUUGGCUUCAUUCUCUUGAUUCCAAAGCAGUAUUUCUUUUUUUUCUUUUUUUUUCUUUUUUUCCCGGUUUUUCGAGACAGGGUUUCUCUGUGGCUUUGGAAGCUGUCCUGGAAAACUCUCUUGUAGACCAGGCUGGUCUCGAACUCACAGAGAUCCACCUGCCUCUGCUUCCUGAGUGCUGGGAUUAAAAUCGUGCACCACCACCGACUGGCUUCCACAGCAGUAUUUCAAAAGAAAGAUUUGGACUUUAGCACUCCCUGAGUACCACAGGCUGCUGAGAGAGGCUUUUCAGAACUGCAUCUUCCGUCACUCCCUUGAGAGUAGAAACAGCACCAGGGACUCUGAAAAGAUCAAGGUCCCCUUUGGGGUUCUUAGUCUUCUUAAUAAAGUAAUUUUCAAAUGGAAGCUUGAUGAUAACUUUAUUAGAGUUUUAAAAACCUCAGCAUCUGCCUGGAGGAGGAGAACGAGGGAGAGAAGGAAAAAAAAAAAAGCUGCAAACAGCCACCUGGUAGGAAAGGGGGCUGGAGAGAAAGAGUUAGGAAGCCCAAAGUGUCAGAGAAAGCAUGCUGGGUUCAGGCCAACAGAAAGAACUAAAAAGGAAAGAGUGUAGUCUCUGGAAACUGUAAAGGACAAUGGUCUCUUCUGCAUGGGUGGGUUAAGGGAGACCUACCUUCCUAGGGGUGUCCCUUGGACAGGUAAUUGAUACUGUUCAACUGGAAUAUUAGGGCUCCACCUAGGCCACAGAUUCAACUCUGUCUCUCUCCCCCUCCCCUUGCCCUUGCUUCUCUCAUUUUGUUUGUUUUGUUGUGGUGUGUUUUCCUUUUGUUUUGAGACAGGCUCUUACUAUACAGCCCUGGCUGUCUUGGAACUUGAUAUGUAGAACAGGCUGACCUCGAACUCAGAGAUCCUCUUGUCUCUGCUUCCACAGUGCUGGGAUCAAAGGCAUGGGCCACCAUGCACAGCAUUAUAGUCUAUUCUUUUGACUGGUUAAUGGGCCUUUCUUGCUAGUCUAAUACCAGAUGAAGAAGUAGAUUGCCAGGAACUGAGUGAGCGCCAAACUACAGGACAAGCAAGUGCUCUGCAGAAGGGAUCCAUUUCCAAUUGUCUUUUGAUUUUUUUUUUUCCUUCAGACAGGCUCUCAUUAUGUUGCCCAGGCUGGCCUUGAACAUAUGAUUCUCCCAUUUCAUUAUCCCAAGUACCUGAGGUGAAGGUGACAGGCCUGUCCCACCCUGCCUGAUUCCAUGAUUAUAUUCUUGGGGGAAAAAAAUCGACUUAAAAUAUCUUCAUGGUCAAGUCACACUGACAAGGUAUGCUCAAGUACACCCGGACCAACCUUGGGAGUGUCAAGAUACACAUUGUAGUCAUGACACACAUUGUAAUUAGCAGACUUAUUUUCCACAAGGAACUCUUGAAAGAGUAGAGUGUACCCAUCCUCUUUCCAACUAGGACCUCCAACAAAUGCUUUUACCCUUUAGUAUUUUCAUCCUGGGAGCUUAUAGACUGUCUUGGAGGGCCAGGAAGUAUUCAGGCCACAGCAGAGAAGGAGCAGCAUGGUGCCUUCCUGAUAUACACUUGGGAAAAAACAACUAUUGCUGCAAAUUUAAAAAGUGGAGAAAGGAAAAGAAGGAAGGCAAGUUCAGUCAGCUAGUCUAGGCCAAGGACACUGCCUGGCAGGCACUGGAGAGACAUGGCAAUCAGGUUGAGGGUGACAGUCUUGGUAGAACAAUUUUAGGGCAGUUGGCUUCUCCUUAAUACCUUGAAAAUUAUAUGGAGCUUGGGACCUGCCCCCCAUGCCUCUUCAUGCUGGCACACACCACAUACCUAUGCAUCCAGAACAGGAAAGCUGGGCAAUUAAUUUGAUCUGAGUUGCAGAGUGAAACCCUUUCUCAAAAGCCAAAGCCAAAUCAAACCCAAACAAACAAAAUAGAAACAUCUAUGAUGGAUCUACCUAGCAAAGCCUCCAGCCCCUGGGUUCCUGGAUUAGACUUUAAUGUAUGACUGUCACUUCUCCUGUGAUGGGGGAGGCAGAGAGCAGGACACAGCCACUCAAGAGUUGUCUUUUGGGAAGGCUGUAAAAUACAGAAUUUGGAAUCAGUUAACUGAGGGGGUGGUGGUAGCCUUUCAGAAGAAGGUCAGUGCGGUGCAACCUCCUUUCCUAGCUUCAGUUCACAGUCUUCCACACGUGUGUGGUUUCCUUCCCAAGAAAAGCAUAAGUGUUCUGGAGAGAAAGAAAAGAGAAUCAAAGCUGUCAGAAACAGCCCUGCCAAUAUUGAUCUCUUAGAGCUGAAAAGGUAAAGUUCUACUUGGAAGAAUUUAAAUGGAAAAGAAGAAAACACUGUGGGGUGUUAUGUGCAAGACAGAGUGAGAAAUUAAUUAUUAUACUUGUCAAGUUGGAUAUGGAGGUACAUGCCCGAAAUUCCAGCACUCAGGAGGUGGAGACAGGAGGAUCAGUAAUUCAAAGACAGCCUUGGAGGGGAGAGGCAAGAGAAGCAGUAGUUCAAAGCCAGCCUUGGAUACAGAGUGAGUUCUAGGCCAACCUAAACUAUAUGAAUGCCUGCCUCAAACAAACACAAAACAAAAACAAAAACCCAACCACCAAAAUGUUAUACUGCUUAACUGCCAAGCAGGAUGUGACUCCUCGCACACCGUGUCCAUUUAGCUCCAAAAGGCAGAGCCUAGUACCUAGUACUUUUGACCAUCUGUAGUAGCAGAUAUGAAUUUCUUCCCAUGGGGCAGCGUUGAUUCCAAUCACACAGUGGUUGGUCACCUGUGUGUCGUCGUCAUCAUUGUUGUUGUCGUCCCCGCUGCCCCCAUAUAGCAAACUUCUGAGUAACUAAGUUUAUUUCUGUUGUAAGCUUUGGUCAGGGAAGCUUCUUUUCACAGAAGGUGUGAUGUCUGCAGACCAGGUAAGUAGCCAAAAUGCUAAGACUAAGUGGCUGGUAAAGGCCCAAAGCCUCAACCAUCAAUAGGACAUCUGUAUCAUAUCCUCAAUGGCACAGAGACCAUCUUGGAAGAAAGAGCAAGAAGAAGGUAGGAACUGGAAGGGGAGGUGUGUUGUGCUCUUUUCCAGUUGUGGCUGCUGUACUCAUGGGAAGGGGUGGUGUGUUGUGAGGUGCUCCUUUCCAGAUGUGGCCUCUGCACUCAUGGGAAGGGGCGGUGUGUUGUGAAAUGCUCUUUUCCAGAUGUGGCCGCUGCACCCAUGGAGUCACAUCAGCCAUGAUUAUCUUCAGAAGGCCUGCACAGUACUGGGUCCAGCAACAUCUAUAAGUAACUCAUGGUUACUGAGGAGGAACAGAGACUUUCUCCAUUGAUGGAGCCACAGGCUGAGCAAGCCAUGAGGAGCAAGCCAGUAAGCAACACCCCUCCAUGGCCUCUGCAUCGGUUCCUGCCUCCAGAUUCCUGCCGUGCUUGAGCUCCUGCCUUCACUGCUUUUGAUAAAGAACUGUGAGUGAAAUAAACCCUUUCCUCCGCACACUGCUUUUGGUCGUGGUGAGUUUUUUUGCUUGUUUG